rnacentral:tRNA from 1 species
GCUGAGUUGGCAGAGUAGUCAAUUGCUCGUGACUGUAGAUCACGCGGCUUAACGGCCUACGGGAGUGCAAAUCUCUCACUCAGCACCA